CUUGAUCUUGGACUUCCCAGCCCCCAGAGCUGACUAGAUCGCUAGCUGGCCCUUUGAUUUAACUCUUCAUCUACCAUAGUCAGGUGCCACAGCUUGAUGAACGAGAUAGAAUCGCACAAUGGGAUCAAAGGGACAGCCAGCCCAGUUUAUUUCCAGAGGAAAAGCUUACCAGGACACAAAGGAGGAAAAAAGACUCGGCUUGAAACCAAUUCUUCCCUGAAGUACAAAUAUCUUUGAUGCUAAAAGCAGAAUGGACUGAGAGAUGCCUUGGACAUAAGUGAUUUCACAUCUGUAACUAUAUCCUGCAAACAUUUGUAGACACAUCUUGGGAAAGAAGCACUCAUGCUUGCAUCUGUUUCCAACAUCUGUGCAUUUAAGUCAGCAACAAAAGUCACCAGGCAUUUGAGCUUUCCCUGCUAUAAUGUUUCUGAUUUACCUUGACAGCGUGAGUAAUCCAAUCAAAGACAAUAUUCCUCUUGAUUUCAGUAAUGAGAGAGACUACACUUAUCUGAAACCUGUGUUACAUUCAUCUCACCAAUACAGUACUAAUGAAAAGGACAAAUAACUGAGUCUCUCUUGGUGGCCUGCAUGCAACUGCUUAAAUACAUAAGUGCAUAGCAACAAUAUGUGAAUAACAUAUAAAAAUAAAUAUGUUC
rnacentral:lncRNA from 1 species